UGCUAGACCUGUUAAACCUUGGGUGCACCGGGUCAUUGUCAUCUAUCGAGAGGUUUGGUGAGUCAUUUCUGUAAAAGGUUUCCAGAGUUUAACAGUUUGUGCAUUGCGCUAGUGGGAAGUGGAAGCUAACAGCUCAUACUUAUAGUAAAGAGUGAUUCUAUCGAGUAGCUCUGUUCGGGAAGGGCAUCUGGUGGAUUUCCAGUUUUGGGCUAUGAGGUGUCGUGCUGCUAAUAUCA